rnacentral:lncRNA from 10 species
AAAUCAUUUAAAUAGCAUCUCAUUUUCCAAAGCCCAUCUUCUAAAAGUCAUGCUGAUUUCACCCUUUCUUCCCUGGCCUUUUCCUUAGUACCAUCUUCCUGAGGAUACAACUGGCCCACUCAUCAGCCUUCUAGGUAAGUGGCACAGGCUCCAGCUACCUUAAGUGGACUACCUGGCUUCCCUGCUCACUGAUAGGGUGUCCUGGGACCAGGCACUCGAACUCGGUAGGGUUUAGUUUCCUUGACGGUAAAAUAGAAAAGUAAGCCUGUUUCACAGCACUUCCCUGAGGAUCAAAUGAGGCACAGUUUGAAUUGUUCCCACACAGAGUAAAUAAAGGCAGGUUCCCUCCUGGCUGCAAGAUAAAAAAUGGGCAGGGGAAUCUCCCUUGAAGAACUGGCACGCUCCUUUCUUUCAGCUAAUGCCCACCAAUAUGUCCAUUGCUGUUUGGGGUGCAAGAAAUUUUAGGCUCAGUAAGGACAAUUCCUCCCAAUGGUUUGGAUAGGGCUGUCAGAACUAAAUUCAAGUUGUUCGAAGUCUCCUUCCGCCCGCCCUGCCAACUUGCCUCCCUCUUCACCCUCCUAAUAGGAGGUGAGCCCCUCCAAUAGCGAUCAUUAACUCACCCUAAGGUUAUCCCCUUGCUGCAACAACCCGUGAAUUGCAGGUUCAUUCAAUGCUCUUUAAAUUAUUUUUAAAGGCUUUUUUUUUUUUAAGUAGCAAAAGAAUGCAUGACACCUAUUGUAAACUGGCAAGUUGAGGGGGUGGGAUGCCGCUCAGACGUGUACUGAGAAAGGUGAUAAUGAAUUUGGCGUCAGCAAUUCUUCAGAAACUAUAAGAAAACACCCAGGUGUUCGAAUUGGUCCCAAAAGGGAAACAAAUCCUUCCCAGCUUUCACGAUGCGCUGAGGUUGGUUUUCUCAGUGCUCCUCCCAGAUCAGGAGGUGGGGAACCUCGUGGCAAGCCCUGGGGCUCGGGAUUCCCGGACUGUGGGCCUGGGGGAGAGAGGCGGCUCUCGUGUGCACACUUACCCCGCCCCCACAACACACACGCGGUCACGCACCACAGACGGGCACACGCGCUCAGCACAGCCACAGUCGCGUGCAACCAGGAGUGCACACCGCACCCACAUCACACCGCAUGCACAGACGCACGGGUGUGAGACCACACACCUCGGCCACUCACGCUCACACGCCCCCCACGCGCUCGCACACGCGCUCGCACGCGCACUCCCCGCGCACCGCCGCGCGCACACGCGGGUCCCGCCGGACGGCGAGGGGCGGGGCGGGCGCGGGCGCAGGCGCGGGUGCCCAGCCGGGCGCGGUCGGGAGAGGGCGCGGCGCGGGGUUCGCGGCUGGCGCUUGAGUUGUUUGCCGGCUCCCGGGCCGCCAGACGCUCGGAGGGAGCCCGGCCGGCUCGGACUGGGCGGCCGGGAGGGAGGGCGCCCCGGGUCACGACGGCGCCCGCAAGCCGAGCGCGGCCGGGACGUGCACCAUGGACCCAAAGGCGGGCGGCGGCGGCGAGGAGGACGACUGCGUGGACUCGGGCGCCGAGACCGGAGGGUGAGCCGCGCCGGGCCGGGCCGCGGGCGGGGGGCGCUCUCCGAGUUGCGCGGCGGCUCCUCCCCGGACGGGGACCCUCCUGAUCCGUGCGACGGGACCGGGGCGCGGGGCUUCUCCUCCUGCCGGAUCCCCCGCUCUCUCCUGGGCGGGCCGCGCUGCCCUGGGCAGGGCGGGCACCACCCGGGGGGAGGAAAGUGGAAGGACUCAAGGUUCAGUGCAAGCCCACCCAUCCUGUGAGGCGAUGCAGAGCGCCAGGCGGAUGCAAAGACCCCUUGUCUGCAUCGCUAGAGACAGGAGAUGCUCUUGCACUUGUUUCCUCCUUCCUCGGGGACUUUCCUCCUGUAGCUCCGGAGCCCCCUGGAGUCCGGCCCUGGAGAUCGGGAGAGGAAGAAAAGCAGGGUGGGACACCCGCACCUAAAAGUCUUUCCGAAGUCGGCUAGGAGGAUGGCAUUUCUCGUUAUAUGGCUUCAUCGUGGGACUUUAAUCUGUGCUGCCGAGUCCCCCUCCCCGACUCCUCCAGUCCCGCCGAACUUCCUCACCUCUAAGUGCACCUGUCCCAGCUGGACCCUUUGGCCUGUUGUACCGGCGGGAUGGAGAUGGUGUUGGGAUUAGGAUCUAGCCCUGCCUUUUUUUUUUUUUAAUAUUCUCUUCGCUUCAGCGGACUCAAACAAUGGGCUCAAACCUUUGGAGACUAAUUAGUUAGUCUCCAAACACUGUUUUCCUGAGCGGAAGAAAAGACAAAAUGCCUUUUAGGAGAUGAAUGUCGUUAUAAAGGCUUCCAGGCAGCCUCUGUCUCUAAAGGACUUUCCUGUGCAGAGUCAGCACCACAUCCAGGCCGCGGGUACUGACCCAGGAGGAAAGGGUGUUUUUUCCUAUCUGGAGUAAUCCUGGGGGAGGGCGGGAGCUGCCUAGACUACAGAAAGCCUCAUUCCUGGAAGGUCGGAGAGGUUUUAGACUAAUCUCAGGAUUUGGCAACCCUGUGAGGGCAGGUAGAGAAUCCAGGCCCACGAUCGACCCAGAGUUCUAACCCAACCCCGGCAAAGCUCCCCACAGGGCCCCUCCUGCCCCACCACUCCUAGCCCAAAUGCGGGACUUUACUCCCUAGGGCAUUCACCCAGCAAUGGGCUUUCUCUGUUAUCCAAACUUAUUCAUAGCUCUCUACAGCACCCAAUUAUAAUCUGGUGGAGUAACCUGAUGCUAAAUGCCAAACUUCCUUUCUUCUUCCCACUCUUUGUGUAAGUGGCAUUUAUCAACUUUAACAAGAUUAUUGGCUUUUUUUUUCUGCCAUUAGUUAGCUGGACCAUGAAUAGAAGAAACAAAGCAAAAUUAACCAGCUUAUUUGUAACUGCGUUAAAUAAAGCAUUCACUAGUCUAUUCAUUUUCAAUUUGCAGAACUCACCUAAAACUGAUAUUUUUUUCAAGGGCUCUGUCUUAGAGAAGGGAGAGGAAGUCCUGGACCCAGGGGGUGACAUCGCCCCAGGAUCUGGACAUCAGCAUGACAGCGGCCAGGCCUCCUGGGAGGGGCUCCCCACUCCUGCUGACACCAGAGCUUCUGUUCUCAGCCUCUGUCACUAAAAUGUG